AUUGAACGCUGGCGGCAGGCCUAACACAUGCAAGUCGAGCGGAUGAAGGGAGCUUGCUCCUGGAUUCGGCGGCGGACGGGUGAGUAAUGCCUAGGAAUCUGCCUGGUAGUGGGGGAUAACGUCCGGAAACGGGCGCUAAUACCGCAUACGUCCUGAGGGAGAAAGUGGGGGAUCUUCGGGCCUCACGCUAUCAGAUGAGCCUAGGUCGGAUUAGCUAGUUGGUGGGGUAAAGGCCUACCAAGGCGACGAUCCGUAACUGGUCUGAGAGGAUGAUCAGUCACACUGGAACUGAGACACGGUCCAGACUCCUACGGGAGGCAGCAGUGGGGAAUAUUGGACAAUGGGCGAAAGCCUGAUCCAGCCAUGCCGCGUGUGUGAAGAAGGUCUGCGGAUUGUAAAGCACUUUAAGUUGGGAGGAAGGGCAGUAAGUUAAUACCUUGCUGUUUUGACGUUACCAACAGAAUAAGCACCGGCGAACUUCGU
rnacentral:rRNA from 1 species